AUGAACGCUGGCGGCGUGUUUAAGGCAUGCAAGUCGAACGAGUAAGUGGAGCAAUCCACUUGCUAGUGGCAAACGGGUGCGUAACACAUUGGUAACCUACCCUCAUCUCGUGAACAACCCCGAGAAAUCGGGGCUAAUACACGAUUGCCUGUUAAAGUGUAAUUCUUUAACAGUAAAGAUUUAUCGGAUGGGGAGGGGCCUAUGGCUUAUCAGCUUGUUGGUGAGGUAAAAGCUCACCAAGGCUAUGACGAGUAGCGGGUGUGAGAGCACGACCCGCCUCACUGGGACUGAGACACUGCCCAGACACCUACGGGUGGCUGCAGUCAAGAAUAUUCCUCAAUGCACGAAAGUGUGAAGGAGCGACGCCGCGUGAUCGAAGAAGCCCCUCGGGGUGUAAAGAUCUUUUUUAAGGGACGAAUUAUUGACGGUACCUUAAGAAUAAGAGGUUGCUAACUCUGU
rnacentral:rRNA from 1 species